rnacentral:rRNA from 1 species
CCUACGGGCGGCUGCAGUGGGGAAUAUUGCACAAUGGGCGCAAGCCUGAUGCAGCCAUGCCGCGUGUGUGAAGAAGGCCUUCGGGUUGUAAAGCACUUUCAGCGGGGAGGAAGGCGGUGAGGUUAAUAACCUCAUCGAUUGACGUUACCCGCAGAAGAAGCACCGGCUAACUCCGUGCCAGCAGCCGCGGUAAUACGGAGGGUGCAAGCGUUAAUCGGAAUUACUGGGCGUAAAGCGCACGCAGGCGGUCUGUCAAGUCGGAUGUGAAAUCCCCGGGCUCAACCUGGGAACUGCAUUCGAAACUGGCAGGCUAGAGUCUUGUAGAGGGGGGUAGAAUUCCAGGUGUAGCGGUGAAAUGCGUAGAGAUCAGGAGGAACACCGAUGGCGAAGGCAGCCCCCUGGGCCUGUACUGACGCUCAUGCACGAAAGCGUGGGGAGCAAACAGGAUUAGAUACCCCAGUAGUC